rnacentral:lncRNA from 1 species
GUGCACACAUACAUAAACUAUUGGCAUUCUGGAUGAUAGGACACUGGCCACACUGGAUCCUUGCUUGAGUGACUACGUAGACAAAGAAAGGAAUGCAGUGAAAGGAAGCAUAUGUAAUGAGAAUGUGAGCAUAGCCUGGUAGAAGAUAUCAUUCAGAGUUCAAGAAUAUCUUGACAAAGUCAUCAGAAAACUACAGAACACAAGAGGUUGAAAGUGGGGUGAAGAUCAAACCUAGGCUAUGCACUGUUGAAAGCCAAAAGAUAACAGAGAAGUGCUUUGCCAAAAACCAGAAGAAAACUGGAAACAGCUCGUG